UUCUGCUUCUGCGCGUGCACUACAGCAGGGAGAAGGAGGAGAAAAAGGGAAAGAUAAGCUAUUCAGCCCAAGAAACAUUUUGCCUUUCCACCAAUUUCCUUUAUACCAUCUGAGCUUGGAUGUCCUUCCUUUGCCUCAACGUAUACCUGGAAUAUAAAUUCCUCCUUAACCUUCUAUCUAGCCCUCAAAGGUGCCCCCAUGCUGACCAAGUCUUACCUGUCCUUGGAGACUAUUAUCAGGUUCUGCCUAGCACCAGCAAUGCCAACAUCCCACGAGAAAAGCUGUUCUUGCUGUACUUUUGGAAGCUAGGACUUCCAGAAUGAGAUGCUGAGCAUUUAGUUUAUUGGACCCAUCCUUUGUGACUGGGAUACUUCUCUAAGCCGAAAUAAGUCCUGUCUGCAUGCAUCUUGCAGCAGUGACAGCUGCAGGCUGGCACAUGUCUCUGCUGAAUCAGCAGGUCACUGGGGACCAACAACUCCGUUCAUAUACCAUAAACUACCUAAAAAAUGGCAAUCCACAUAGCAGACCUAAGGGCAAGCAGCUACUGCUGGAAAAGCAGCAAUCCUCAUCUGCAACAUAAAAAAGGGCUGUGAUGCACAGUCUUGCACUGAGACACUUGCUGUAAGGAAAAUACAGAUCUCACCCAUGUACAGAUCAUCUUCACACCAUAUGGACUUUCCUCUUGGGAAAAGAGUUUGUGCCUUUGACCAAACCACCUGAGAACAUGUGCAAACUUGCUGUGUAUUAAAAAAACAACCCAAAACCCCAUUACCUGUAUAUCCCUGAUUGCCACUCAUCAUCUUAUACCAGAAACCACAGGGAAAAUCAUUAAAUAGGUAUAACCAGUCCUGGAAGAAGAACCUGUCUUGAAAGAAACGUUCCCUGGGCUUUCUGCUGUCUAGCUUUCAAGCACAGCCCCCCUGCGCACCCCCAUCCCUAAUAUACCUCCUGUGUGAGAAAACUACUCUCGUGGAAAUAACGCUGACAAUGCUAAACAACCGAUGCCUCAGGAGAAGGACAAUAUAAGCCAGCGACUCUAGGGGAAGAGCAUUUCACGUGAAACUACCACAUCAUCUCUGACCUCUUGCAGGUCCUCAUCCCAUCCCCAUCCACAGGGGAGAACUACAAAACACUCUCAAAAGGAGAGCCGAGGAAUUAAAAUUUGUAACUCUCCCUAAUAUGGGAAAUCACGGACGCAGUAGAAGCAUUAGUUUUAUGACACCUUAAAAUUUUCCCCACUUGCUGCUUUCUACUAACACUGCACUGUUCCCUCUGGCAAUAGCUACCUGUCUCUCUCUCCAUCCCACAGGACCAGUGACCUCAUCCCUAGCAAAAAGCCUCCUCUGCUCUACACAUGCCAAACCCCAUUUUCUCUCCAAAUUAUGAAGUUGAUUGAUAAAACUGAGCUGUUUCCAACCUGUAUUUCACUUGGAGUCAUCAGCUUCUGUUUCGGAUCUGAAGAAGGGUGUGCCUCUUCAACAGCCUGGUCUGUUUUUUUCCCUGGCAACUGGUCCAAUAGAAAAUGUUACUGAUCCAUGAAAACUCCGUCUCAUUUUUAAAUCCUGAUUUCAUUAAAACUUCAUUAAUUGGAGGCCUAAGAGUGAGAGGGAAAAAUGCAGCCGGCCUUUUCUUCCAACUUAGGCCUGACAGUCUGACACACAAGCCUGAGAAGGGAGUAUGAAAAAUCGCAUCUACCUUUCUGACCUAUAUUCUCCUUGGAAGAAAGGGUCUGUUGCGAGAGGUGAAAGAGUAGCAAUACCCCAAGUUUUGGGCUGGCCUUCUGUCUAGAAGGGAAUGAUCCCCUUUGAUCUUUCAUUAGUCCUUGAAUCCAGUUUCAUUACAAAUGUUACUUAAUGUUUAUUAUUCGCCCAAGAGGCUUGGGUCAAUUGCAGCAUUAUCAUCCCAUCCCGUCUGCUAAAAACUGCCUUCUUAUGAAAAAUAAAAAGAUAAUACACUUCAGAGAGAGACUAAAAUCAAUAUUGUAACUCUUGGUCGCAGGAGGCACCAGGCCCUGUCCUGUAAAGCAAAG